rnacentral:rRNA from 1 species
AUUGACAUGUGAGGCUACCGAACGUUGGAAACAGCGGUUAGGAGCUUACACCCACCCGUGUUUACAUACUAUUGUUGCUUUGGCGGGCCGUGGCCUCCACUAGCGGGCUCUGCUCGUGUGUGCCCGCCAGAGGACCAAACUCUGAAUGUUAGUGAUGUCUGAGUACUAUCUAAUAGUUAAAACUUUCAACAACGGAUCUCUUGGUUCUGGCAUCGAUGAAGAACGCAGCGAAAUGCGAUAAGUAAUGUGAAUUGCAGAAUUCAGUGAAUCAUCGAAUCUUUGAACGCACAUUGCGCCCUGUGGUAUUCCGCAGGGCAUGCCUGUUCGAGCGUCAUUUAACCACUCACGCCUAGCGUGGUAUUGGGGCACGCGGUCUCCGCGGCCCUCAAAAUUAGUGGCGGCGCCGGUGGGCUCUAAGCGUAGUACAUACUCCCGCUAUAGAGUUCCCCCGGUGGCUCGCCAGAACCCCCAAUUUUUUUACAGGUUGACCUCGGAUCAGGUAUGGAUACCCGCUG